CAAAAGAAGAAGGGGGUGGGGUGUGGGGGGGUGAGGAGAAUAUAUUAGUAUUUACCAAUAAUAAGUUGCAUUGGAUAUAGAAAACAACCAAAAUACACAAACGCGCGUGCACACUUAAAGCUAUGCACACAUAAAAAAAGUCCUGUACAUGCAUCAUACCAAGCAAAACUCCCAUCAAUUCAUGAACAGAGAGAGAGAGAGAGAG
rnacentral:misc_RNA from 1 species